rnacentral:rRNA from 1 species
UACGAAGGGGGGCUAGCGUUGCUCGGAAUCACUGGGCGUAAAGGGCGCGUAGGCGGCGUUUUAAGUCGGGGGUGAAAGCCUGUGGCUCAACCACAGAAUGGCCUUCGAUACUGGGACGCUUGAGUAUGGUAGAGGUUGGUGGAACUGCGAGUGUAGAGGUGAAAUUCGUAGAUAUUCGCAAGAACACCGGUGCGAAGGCGGCCAACUGGACCAUACUGACGCUGAGGCGCGAAAGCGUGGGGAGCAAACAGG